rnacentral:rRNA from 1 species
CCUACGGGCGACAGCAGUGGGGAAUUUUGCGCAAUGCUCGUAAGAGUGACGCAGCGACGCCGCGUGAAUGACGAAGGCCUUCGGGUCGUAAAGUUCUUUCGACAGGGAAGAAAAUGCCUAUAAGUAACUGUGUAUGUAUUGACGGUACCUGUAUAAGCAGCCCCGGCUAACUCCGUGCCAGCAGCCGCGGUAAUACGGAGGGGGCGAGCGUUGUUCAGAGGGACUGGGCGUAAAGAGCACGUAGGCGGUGUUGUAAGUCAUUAGUCAAAGACUAGAGCUCAACUUUAGUAAGGCUAGUGAUACUAUAAUACUAGAGUAUCAGAGAGGAUUGCAGAAUUCCUGGUGUAGCGGUGAAAUGCGUAGAUAUCAGGAGGAAUACCGUUAGCGAAGGCGGCAAUCUGGCUGGAAACUGACGCUGAGGUGCGAAAGCGUGGGUAGCAAACAGGAUUAGAUACCCUUGUAGUC